rnacentral:rRNA from 1 species
GAGUUUGAUCCUGGCUCAGGAUGAACGCUGGCGGCGUGCUUAACACAUGCAAGUCGAGCGGAGGUUUAAAGCGGAAGUUUUCGGAUGGAAGCAGUAAACCUUAGCGGCGGACGGGUGAGUAACGCGUGGGUAACCUGCCUCAUACAGGGGGAUAACAGUUAGAAAUGACUGCUAAAACCGCAUAAGCGCACAUUGUCGAGUGACAGAGUGUGAAAAACUCCGGUGGUAUGAGAUGGACCCGCGUCUGAUUAGCUAGUUGGUGAGGUAACGGCCCACCAAGGCGACGAUCAGUAGCCGGCCUGAGAGGGCGACCGGCCACAUUGGGACUGAGACACGGCCCAAACUCCUACGGGAGGCAGCAGUGGGGAAUAUUGCACAAUGGGGGAAACCCUGAUGCAGCGACGCCGCGUGAGUGAAGAAGUAUUUCGGUAUGUAAAGCUCUAUCAGCAGGGAAGAAGAAAGACGGUACCUGACUAAGAAGCCCCGGCUAACUAC